rnacentral:rRNA from 1 species
UACAGGGGGGGCAAGCGUUGUUCGGAAUUACUGGGCGUAAAGGGCUCGUAGGUUGCCAACUAAGUCAGACGUGAAAUCCCUCAGCUUAACUGGGGAACUGCGUUGGAAACUACGAGGCUGGAGUACGGCAGAGGGGGGUGGAAUUCCACGUGUAGCAGUGAAAUGCGUAGAUAUGUGGAGGAACACCGAUGGCGAAGGCAGCCCCCUGGGCUAGUACUGACGCUCAUGCACGAAAGCGUGGGGAGCAAACAGG